UACGUAGAUCCCGAGCGUUGUCCGGAUUUAUUGGGCGUAAAGCGAGCGCAGGUGGUUUAUUAAGUCUGGUGUAAAAGGCAGUGGCUCAACCAUUGUACGCAUUGGAAACUGGUAGACUUGAGUGCAGGAGAGGAGAGUGGAAUUCCAUGUGUAGCGGUGAAAUGCGUAGAUAUAUGGAGGAACACCGGUGGCGAAAGCGGCUCUCUGGCCUGUAACUGACACUGAGGCUCGAAAGCGUGGGGAGCAAACAGG
rnacentral:rRNA from 1 species